CAAAUCCCCAUUAGAAAAUUAGAAAAUCUGGACACCAUCAGAAUGCUGAUAGGUGCAGGCAAAAUUAUAAGUCAAUGCUAAAAGUAUAGGUAAAUUUUUGAUGAGGAUCAGGAUAUUUAUUCCAGGCAGAAACAAAGAUACAAAUUUCUCAAUUUGUAUUCACACCCAAGAAAUAUAAGUUCUGCUGCAAUUUAUGUGUGAAAUAGGAUCCAAUUUUCCCC
rnacentral:lncRNA from 1 species